rnacentral:rRNA from 1 species
UACGUAGGGAGCAAGCGUUGUCCGGAAUCAUUGGGCGUAAAGCGCGCGUAGGUGGCUUCGUAAGUCCGUUGUGAAAGUCAAAGGCUCAACCUUUGAAAGCCGAUGGAUACUGUGAAGCUAGAGUACGGAAGAGGCGAGUGGAAUUCCCGGUGUAGCGGUGAAAUGCGCAGAUAUCGGGAGGAACACCAGUGGCGAAGGCGACUACCUGGCCUGUUCUUGACGCUGAGGCGGCGAAAGCUAGGGGAGCAAAC